GACGAACCGUGCGAACGUUGUUCGGAAUCACUGGGCUUAAAGGGCGCGUAGGCGGCAUGACAAGUCACUUGUGAAAUCUCUGGGCUUAACCCAGAACGGCCAAGUGAUACUGUCGCGCUAGAGUGCGGAAGGGGCAAUCGGAAUUCUCGGUGUAGCGGUGAAAUGCGUAGAUAUCGAGAGGAACACCUGAGGUGAAGACGGGUUGCUGGGCCGACACUGACGCUGAGUGCGCGAAAGCCAGGGGAGCAAACGGG
rnacentral:rRNA from 1 species